UACAGAGGUCCCAAGCGUUGUUCGGAUUCACUGGGCGUAAAGGGUGCGUAGGUGGUGAGGCAAGUCGGAUGUGAAAGCUCCGAGCUCAACUCGGAAAUGGCAUUGGAAACUACCUUGCUCGAGGGUUUGAGGGGGGACUGGAAUACUUGGUGUAGCAGUGAAAUGCGUAGAUAUCGAGAAGAACACCAGUGGCGAAGGCGGCUCACUGGACCGGCAUUGACGCUGAGGUGCGAAAGCGUGGGGAGCAAACAGG
rnacentral:rRNA from 1 species